rnacentral:rRNA from 1 species
AUUGAACGCUGGCGGCAGGCCUAACACAUGCAAGUCGAGCGGUAACACAGAGAGCUUGCUCUCGGGUGACGAGCGGCGGACGGGUGAGUAAUGUCUGGGAAACUGCCUGAUGGAGGGGGAUAACUACUGGAAACGGUAGCUAAUACCGCAUGAUGUCGCAAGACCAAAGAGGGGGACCUUCGGGCCUCUUGCCAUCAGAUGUGCCCAGAUGGGAUUAGCUAGUAGGUAAGGUAACGGCUUACCUAGGCGACGAUCCCUAGCUGGUCUGAGAGGGUGAUCG